GUCGAGGGGUAUAGUAGCAAUACUAGAGACCGGCGCACGGGUGCGUAACGCGUAUGCAAUCUACCUUUUGCAGAGGGAUAGCCCAGAGAAAUUUGGAUUAAUACCUCAUAGUAUAACGACUCGGCAUCGAGAUGUUAUUAAAGUCACAACGGCAAAAGAUGAGCAUGCGUCCCAUUAGUUAGUUGGUAAGGUAACGGCUUACCAAGACUACGAUGGGUAGGGGUCCUGAGAGGGAGAUCCCCCACACUGGUACUGAGACACGGACCAGACUCCUACGGGAGGCAGCAGUGAGGAAUAUUGGACAAUGGGCGCAAGCCUGAUCCAGCCAUGCCGCGUGCAGGAUGACGGUCCUAUGGAUUGUAAACUGCUUUUGCACAGGAAGAAACAACGCUACGUGUAGCGUCUUGACGGUACUGUGAGAAUAAGGAUCGGCUAACUCCGUGCCAGCAGCCGCGGUAAUACGGAGGAUCCAAGCGUUAUCCGGAAUCAUUGGGUUUAAAGGGUCCGUAGGCGGUCUUAUAAGUCAGUGGUGAAAUCUCCCCGCUCAACGGGGAAACGGCCAUUGAUACUGUAGGACUUGAAUUAUUAGGAAGUAACUAGAAUAUGUAGUGUAGCGGUGAAAUGCUUAGAGAUUACAUGGAAUACCAAUUGCGAAGGCAGGUUACUACUAAUGGAUUGACGCUGAUGGACGAAAGCGUGGGUAGCGAACAGGAUUAGAUACCCUGGUAGUCCACGCCGUAAACGAUGGAUACUAGCUGUUGGGCGCAAGUUCAGUGGCUAAGCGAAAGUGAUAAGUAUCCCACCUGG
rnacentral:rRNA from 1 species